GUGAUAACGUCCCGUCGCGAGAGGGAAACAACCCAGACCACCAGCUAAGGCCCCUAAAUAACAGCUAAGUUGAUCAAAGAAAGUUGAGUUGCUCAGACAACUAGGAGGUUGGCUUAGAAGCAGCCAUUCCUUUAAAGAGUGCGUAAUAGCUCACUAGUCAAGCGACUCGGCGUCGAUAAUAAGCGGGCAUAAGCUGUUUGCCGAAGCUGUGGGAAUGAAUAAUUCGGUAGGGGAGCAUUCCAGU
rnacentral:rRNA from 1 species